AUUUUAAAUACUUUAAUCCUGCCAGCUGUUUACCUGCAGGGGCUAGAGAGAUUUACAUUUUGCCUCAGUGCAUAAUUUAGUUUUUGGGGAAUGAGGGUAGGCAAGGUUCCUUUCUUUUGAAGCGUCAGACAAUGGCUGCAGAAUGUGAGGGUAUUUUGGGGCAGAAUUUAUGGCUUUUUUUUUUUUUUGAUAUUGCAGAAAAACCUUUCUUGGCCCUCCUCAAUGGUUUAGGAAGAUCCUGACUGUCAGGGUGUAUCAAGUUAAGUGCAACAUGAAGAAUGAGGCAAUAUGAAGAAAAAUCAUACGUACAGCAGUCCCAAAUCUCCAAGAAAGCACUUCAGUUGAAGAAAUAGUUAAUUUGAUUAGUCAUGAAGAGGCCUGCUCUGAUGGACUGCAGCUAUUCCUGUGGAAAGCAGACUGAAGUUCCAUGUGCUCUGCGACUGAGACAGCAAAGGUCAUUCAAGUGCACAGAUGUGGGAUGUUCAGCAUACUGGCCAAAAAGAAAUUCCAAACUCCAGAAAACGUAGCACCAGGAUGGAAUACAUAUAACCACAUCACUAGAAGAAUGACUGUGAGUCUUUAAGGCAGUGCCUAUGGAAAAGAAUAAAAGGCCCAACAGGCGCCGGUAAGAACUGGAUUUUUGUUUCUGUGACACCAUUUGUUUUCUAUUAUGGAUAUUUGCGUCUUAGGUUAACAUUCCUCUGAGAUAAGACCUCAUACCUGAUAACAUUCAUCCCCAGGCCAGGCCACAGAUCUAUGUCCCUGGCACCAUACAACUAUUUCUGUCUGAAAUCCAAAGUACUCCCAAGAACCACAUCACUUUAUCUUUCUCUCUUUCCUUUUUCUUUCUUUCUUUCUUUUUCUUUUUCUUUCUUUUUUUUUAAUAGAGAUCUGGUCAGAAAAAAAUUGCUAGGAAGAGAAAAAUGGAUCACGAUCCUAGAAAGAGACCCUGAGCACGUAUGAAAGACCAUAUGGUAAUGAUCAAAGUUGAGGAAAAACAAAAAGCUGCCUUCCACCUGCAAAACAGAAUUGUCUGAAGAUAGUGAAAUGGGAAUGCUUUGAAGAUAAGCCAUCAUGCACUGUGGGAAAAGGAGGCAAGAAGUGAAACCUGGUUUUGAGACAAUUUCCUAAGGUGCACUCUGUGAUUGGUGAGCGGGGGAGCCAGGUGCUGAUUAUUUUCUACUCUGUUCUAACAUGUAAAAGUCAGCAGAAGUGCUAAUUGCAUUUGUUACCUGCUUUUCCUCAUAACCUUCCUUCCUGUGGAUAGAAAGCAGACAGAGGAGAAACUGAACAUGAUCCCAGCUCUUUCUUUGGAAAAAAGUACUUCAGGUAGUCACUCAUCCCCCCUUCAGGAUUCCUUUAUUGCCUUCAGUGGUCUUCUCCUGGUGCGCUUCAAGAAGAUAAAGGCUUAAGUUCAAACAUGGGCUCUGCAGUUUCUCCCUCCUAUGUUUCUCGAUCAGUCUGAAAUCUGAAGGCAGGCACUGAUGGAAAUUGAGGAUGCUAUUUUUGAGGUCACAGCAAGAGAAACUGAAGAGCUAAUUCCACUCUACAGACUUGCUCCGUAUGAAAGAUACUCCUACUUGGAAGAAUGCUGUUGCCUCUCUAUACUGAAGGGGCU
ensembl:lncRNA